AGUCUGGUUGAGAAGGAGAAGGCGGAGAGAGGUCAUGAAGACCUAGAACAUGGCGAGACCACUCGUCUGCUGGUGACAGCUGUGACAUGUUCCACCACUGGAGAACGCUCCCCAGAGGCGCUGCUGUGACUGGUCAUCCACUCAACAGGCACUCUCUCCACAUCUCUGUGCCGUGCCUGGUGCUAUUAUCCGUGCUGCGGACAAAGGACAGGUUUCCAAGAAAUGCACUGAGCAGGACUGGAGCUGGGAGCCUCUGGUUCAGGCCCCAAGCAGGAAGCGUCGGAUGUGCAUGAGCAAGCAUCCCCCUCUUGCGGCUGAGAGAGGGCAGCUGCUUGGCCUCCCAUCUGGAGGUUCCCUAAUGCUGAUCUAAGGUACUGGAGCAUUCUGAGGCGUCUCCCAGCUCUGGUACCUGUGAAGAGUCACCGUGGGAUCUUCUUCCAGCAAGUUCCUGACCUGAGCCGAACACCUCGUCCUUACUCUUCGGGCCACCAUCUGUGAUCAUAUGUGGAAAAUCCAAAUAUUACCUGUUUGCUCCGCAAAGAAAGGCCAUGGAAGUAAAAUGCACAUCUGCCAGGGGGAUGGACUGAAUAAAUGAUGACGUAUAAUAGAAA